rnacentral:lncRNA from 1 species
GGGCAUGAAUGCAGCAGGGGUUCGUGUGGCAGAGCGGGGAGGGCUGCGUCCCUGAUUGUUAACACGGAAAGGAGAUGGGAGAAGGAAGCAGAGGCGUGUCCCUGUUCAACAUGUUCAAAGUACCCUCUGGCUGUUUGAAUCCAUGAUGUGCAAUCAGAACAAUUAACUUCUCUACCACCUCUGUCCUGCGCUGCCUCGGGUCCCUUUCUGUGGAUUGCUCUUUCCCCUCGUUGGAAGGUACGUGGGAACCGUCUGAUCCUUCGGGUUGCAGCUUCCGGGCUUUGAUUGGGCUUCCUGCGUCAGCACUGAGAGUGGGCUUGGUAUUUCCCCAGUGCUCCAUGGGAUGGGACAGACUCCCACGGCUCUCCUUGUUCCCAGGGGUCCUGUCUGACCUGACGCUGCGGGAGUUGGGCCCAGGACUGGUGAAGCCCUCGCAGACCCUCUCCCUCACCUGCACUGUCUCCGGGGACCCUGUCACCAGCAGUUACUACUGGAAUCGGAUCCGUCAGCGUCCUGAGAAAGGCCCAAGACUGAACCAUCUGGACGGGGAGAGGGCACCUGUGCAGAAGACACGAGGAAGACAGAAUUGA